rnacentral:rRNA from 1 species
AUUUUGGUGAGUGGCGGACGGGUGAGUAACACGUGGGUAACCUGCCCAAAAGUGGGGGAUAACAUUUGGAAACAAGUGCUAAUACCGCAUAACAACUGCUUUCACAUGAUCGCAGCUUGAAAGAUGGCUCUGCUAUCGCUUUUGGAUGGACCCGCGGCGUAUUAGCUAGUUGGUGAGGUAAUAGCUCACCAAGGCAAUGAUACGUAGCCGACCUGAGAGGGUAAUCGGCCACAUUGGGACUGAGACACGGCCCAAACUCCUACGGGAGGCAGCAGUAGGGAAUCUUCCACAAUGGGCGAAAGCCUGAUGGAGCAAUGCCGCGUGAGUGAAGAAGGUUUUCGGAUCGUAAAACUCUGUUGUUGAAGAAGAACAUGCGUGAGAGUAACUGUUCACGUACUGACGGUAUUCAACCAGAAAGCCACGGCUAACUACGUGCCAGCAGCCGCGGUAAUACGUAGG